rnacentral:rRNA from 1 species
UACGAACUGUGCGAACGUUAUUCGGAAUCACUGGGCUUACAGGGUGCGUAGGCGGCUAUUCAGGUCAGGUGUGAAAGCCCCCGGCUCAACCGGGGAACUGCGCUUGAAACCGAGUGGCUCGAGUCAGCUAGAGGUACACGGAACUUCCAGUGGAGCGGUGAAAUGUGUUGAUAUUGGAAGGGACACCGGAGGCGAAAGCGGUGUACUGGGGCUGGUCUGACGCUGAGGCACGAAAGCCAGGGGAGCGAACGGG